rnacentral:lncRNA from 1 species
AAAACUCAUUAUGUUACAAGCAUAUCAACUAAAACAUGUAAUUGUCUGCCUGUCCUUUGUCUCAUAGGUGUAUGUCCUCUAGCAGCACAUCUGAGAUUGCAAUAGAUCAAAGUAAUGCCAGGGUUUACCGUCUCAAUGUGGAUUCAAUGGCAGCCAAGAACUCAGAUUUGGUAUGUAUGUUUAUGCACAAAAGGAUCAAAAUCAUUUUGUAUCAUUCAAAAAUCUCAGAAAAAUCCAGUAUUCAGACAAUCUCAAGUGUAUGUUAAGGUUCAGCUGUAAAAAGACUUUUUUCAAAUAAUGAGACAAAUUUCUGUCAAUGAACGAAAUUGUUGGUUGACCAAUCUCUUUAUAUUUUUUGGAAGUUUGCCUCAAUUUAUAUGUAAAUUCAUGCUGCUAAGAACUAUUUUCCAUGUUUUCCAUAAUUGCAGAUGUAUAUCAUGUGCCACAUCAGGCUGUGCAUGCCCACCUCUCCCAGUGCCCAAUGCCUUAAUGUGUGCGGUCGUGCUGGCAGCCAAAGUCCUUUGGUCACCAAUUUUAUGUCUAAAACAUACACAGUCUUUUCCGACAAGAUCCCCCUCAUCCCCCUCACCCCCCUCAUCCCCCUCACCCCCCUCAUUCCCCUCGCUCCUUCUAUCACAACACCCACAACAACGUCGCCACCUACCAAUUCCACAACUGCAAAGAACCCCUCCAUCCCUGCUGGUGUCAAUUCCCACGCUCCCACGGCAACAUCAGUAACAACAGCAGCAAUUCUCACAACGAUCAGCAUAUUUCUUCGAAAGACCAUCUUAUACUGAGAGAGCUGAUGGACAACUAUUGGUUUUUUUGUCUGUUUUUUUCCAAUGGACCAGUAACAAUUCCAUCUUGUAGAAAAAUAAAAAAAAAAUUGGACUUGCAAACUUUCAAAAAAAAAAAUAUAACUAUUAUAUAUGCAAAACUGCACACUACUAAUACAAAAAAUAUUUAUUUCUUAAUAAAGUGCUAUAUAUUUGCAAUAAGGCUGUUAUUUGAGACUUAUGCUUAAUCUGCAUGAUAUUUUACAUGUUACUGUAUCUCUCUUUUACCACAUCAUAUGUGUGUUUUCCAUCAAAUAAAAACAAGUAUUUUAUUCAUAAUUAUCAUUCAACUGUGUUGUUUAUAGUUAUUUUAUACCAUGGUCCGGGUGAAUACUCGGUUCUGAUUGGCUGCUGGAUGUGCAUUAAAAAGUGAUAUACCACAGGAUAACCCCACAGUGAAAAAUUGAGGUUCCGGUCACGUAGGAGAGGAGAACUUUUCUCUAAACUGAUGCUUUAUUCAACCCAUCGUAAAGAUCUGCAAAUAUAUAUAUAUAUAUAUAUAUAUAUAUAUUGCUUUAUAUCACCGAACCUUGACUGCAGCGAUGGUGCGGCGUGACGCAGACUUUUUGUUGCCACACCACGUAACAAAUGGUCCGCUUUUUGUGAGAAAAGUAAUACAAAUCUGAAAAAAAACAAGAAUUAAGGAAUAGAAAAUAGUUAAUAUUUAUUGCUUUUGUAAGUGACCAUGGUACAAGCGGGUUAAUGGCCUUCGAAGUGUGCAUUAACACUUUUUAAUGCACUUCGCAGAAGCAACCGGUUCAGGCUUCCACGGCGUGCGUUAAAAAGUGAUAAUGCACACUUUGUCUGCCAUUAACCCUUACGUACUGUACACUACGCUUGACCUCUGUCCACACACAAAAGCUUCACAAAAAUAAAACUGAAGAGUUUAAACUGAAAAGCCUGUCUGUCUGGCAGCAUCAGUUUUGGGAAUGUUAUUUAAAAAAAAAGAGAAUUAGUUACAGUUGCCAACUAAAACCUAAGACCCAAAAAGUAACUGAAUUACUUUAUAGUAAAAGUAAGUGCUUACCAAAAAAACUAUUUGUCUUACUAUAAAAAAGGAAAAAAAAGGAAAAGUCUGUGUGUCAAAAUUCAGAUUUUUCUGAACAGUUUUGCAAAAGUCAAUUGAGAUGAGUGUCCAUCGCAUGAGGCCUUCAGCCAUUAUCUGUUUACUCAGCUGCUGGACAAAAAAAGAGUGAAAUAACCGUACUUGUUUUAUCAUUUUCACCAUUUAUUAUGUAGAAAGUAGGCAUAUUUUGUUCUGAACAAAAGUAAACAUUUAAGUUAAAGAGGGUUUAACUCUAGCCUAUAGUUUAAAAUAAAUAUAUAAAACUUAAAGUUUGAUCUGGUUUUCUUUGAAACAUAAAAACAAUGUACGUGAGAAUUUCUUGUAAAAUACGUCAAACUCUCACAAUCUGAGACAAUAACCUGAAAGUAGUUCCAACAUUUCCACCAAGAAAAGGCCAACUUUUCAUUGGGCUGGUUUGGACUCACCAUUCAUUUGUUUAAUGGUGAUUGGCACCAUUGACUGUACAUGAGAACUGUACCGGGUGAGUGUGACGUCAUCACUAGAAAAAUUCUUAAUUCCGGCUCCAAUGAAUGUGAUCUAGAUGUUGCCAUGUUGGAACCAGACGACAUCAGUUGGCAGUGAUCGUAGUAAACGUUUCUAUGGCAACCACUCUCACCAAUCAGGAGUGAGCUUGUUUGAAGGCCACACCCCUACUACUUCAAAGCAGGCUUGGGAAAAUUUGUCAAUCAAACAUUUUGAACCUUCAACACUAGACUACAUACUUUCACUGAGGCUUCUGAUUGGUCAGUUUAUAACAUGAAUAAUUUGCACUACAAAAACAAUAUAAUGAAAAAAAAAGACGAGCAAGAACCUGUUAAAUAUAUGUAGCAGAGCAAGAAUGGUUAUUCUGACAAAUACGUAAUAGCUAUUUGUAUCUGUAUAGAUGUCUGGAAUUUUGGCUUCUGGAAACCAGCUGGAACUUCCUUUUUGGAAUGUGAGCGGUGAGGGGUUGGAUCAAUAAUCUAAUUUUCAUGUAAUUCAAUUCCACCUUCAAUUUAUUUUUAUUAUUUCCCCAUCAUCAUUUACUUUCUCAAACAUUUCUAAUCAUUUUUGUUUUUCUUAAAAAUCAAACAAUAAAUAUAUAGCUAAACUCGUUCCUAAAUAUGUCAUUUAUCUCCCACUUUAUUUUCAUCCUCACAUGUUGUUUUUAAGUCUUUGAUCCGUGUGCUUCCUGUCCAAAAACAUGCUUCUUAUUGGUUAUUCUAAAUUGUCCAUAGUUGUGAACGUGAGUGUGCAUGGGUGUGUUUUACGUGUCCCCUGCAUUCGCCCAUAAGUGGCUGGGAUAAGCUCCGGCACGGAAGAAGAUGAUGAAUGAAUGAAUGUUACAGCUAUUUUUUCAAAAUAUUAAACAAAAAAGUAUUUUAGAUUGUGGGGACAUUGUCUUGCUCUUGUACAGCACCAGGAUCACUGCAUUUACAGUACUGUUUUCCUUCUAGAGAUCUGACCAAUCAGAGUUCAGGAUGGGCGGAGUUUCGCCUGCCUCGCCGAGAGACACGCCUCUAUGUUCAAGGAAGGAACACCGCUUCAUACAUACACUGUUGUUAGCGACUACAGCCUAUUUCGUUGCUGACAUUUCCAUUCGAUAGCACUUCUCUAAACUUUACUUUUCCUGACAUUGCUGGUUGAAUCUUCAUGUAGAGGAGCGUCGGUCGAGAUCGGUUGCACUGGUGUUUCAAGUUGUUGUUGGAGGCAGCUGCCCGAGGUAAGUUAAACUAAAGUUAGCUUGUUAGCCGAGAUCCAGUGUUAAUGAUGGCUGGUUGUUGUGCUAAUGUAGCCAGCUGCUGCUUAACCUUGUCCGAGGGAUUUAGUAACGACCGAGAACUUAGUCCUCUUCUGUCACAUACAAAAGCCUUCGUGUUCAGUAAAAAAUAAACAGAAAUGUUCGCGGUUAAGUUGCUGCAUCGAGAAGUUAGUCUAGGCUACUCGUUAACAAGGCUAGCAACUUUGACUUAGCAGACAGGCUAACGGCAAGCAGCUUGACCUAACAUGUAUUUUCCCGUAAGGUGAUUCUUUUUCAACUAAAUUUUGUUUUUCGUCUCAGGUUUAAAAUACGGUUGUCGUCGAAAUGGCUUCCCCCUCCUUUUUUUUUUGGUCGAGCAUUUUUUAAAUACUAAAACUUCUUCCAUAUUUUGACGUUUAUGCAACGUUCCUAAGUAAAAAUGUUAGCUAUGCAUCGUCCCGGGCUAACCACUAAACGUGGUCAAAUUUAAAAAUUGACCGUCCCGCUUAUGUUGUUGAUGGGACGCUUGUGUGAGAAUGAAAACAUCUCACUUGUGUUCCUGACUUCAAACACGCAUCGAUGUUUUCUGUUCGGUUAUCCAACCCAUCAAUGCUAAAGCUCGUCUAUCUAUGUUUUAGUUGGCGAGGUCCCCGUUUGCAGUGGACUUUCAGUGGUAACCUCCUUUCAGUGACAAACUCGUAGUCCCUGUUUGUCCCUAACUGAUAACGUACUGAUUGCAUGUAGUAGCCUAACGUAUGUGCCGUAUAACUCAACGCUAGUUGAACUAAAGUCAGCGCCAGCCAUCAAACGAGCGAAAGCAGUGCGCUCGCCGAAAACGGAUAGCCUGGUCUUUAGCUCGGAGGGGGAGGGGAGGAGGCAGGGCUUCAAGCGAGCGACACAGAUCGCCUACGUGCCUACAAAAAAAAAACGCCUGGUGGAUAAAUGGGCCUUUUUUUCCUAAUGUAGCUGUUAGUUUUUCACGCAGAUCGCUUUUUGUCGUAUCAUUUUCGCGUCCCGUCGAAUAUUUGUCAAAAAAGAAACAGCGAAAUGGGCGAUCUCGUCGAAUAAAGACCGUGCGCUCUGCCGCCCUCUUCACCGAAAACGGUGGCGAGCAAUGAGGCACACCAAUUCCCCCCUCCUCCCUCCCUCCCACAAGCCGAGUGACGUUUGCUUAGGGACCGUCAGCAAAUGGCUCUUCUCCUGUGGAAACCCAAAUUUAGAGAAGGCAUCUGUCAUAGUGUGUUACGGUGGGGAAAAUGUGCUCUGCCAAUAAUAAGUCUCGGUUUUUUUUCACCUAAUCAGUUGAAGUUUAAACAUUUCAAAUAAGAUAUGUAUUUGUGUGCACAACAUACUACAUUGUGGCCACAAGAUGGUCAUUUUUGCGCUCAACGUACCUAUUCAUGACCACAAAUAUUUAAUUUGAAAGAACAAUCUAUAAUGUCAUGCCCAAGUCUCCAUAAACGGCUGUUAUUUAUCUAUUUACCAGUAUAUUUUUUAAUGCAGGGCAUACAUGUCUCCCAUGUUAUGUGUGGCAUAAACUGCACUUUCCAUUACCCGAAUAUUUUAACUUCCAAGCAUGAAAUGUAAACAUCUUGCAUUCUGAAGACAAAAGUGCAUGCCACUGGUUGUGAAAAUUGUAACAAAGAACAGUAUAGAAUAGAUGAUGUGGUCACAUCAAACUGAAGUCCAAGAGGCAAAUCUAACUAACUCAGUAUAAUGGCAUUUUAAAAAGCUCUGUUAGUUUUGCCUGAGUAUAGAUUGUGCCUGUAUAAAUACUUCUUUUGGCUUCAGAAGUGUUGGUGCUUGGUGCUGUCAGCAGUGUCAAACUAUGAUCUGCCAGCAUUGCUUCUCCAUUGAUGGGGCAUUAAAGCACACCUGCUCAGUUAACAGCUUUAGUGCGGAGUCCAUGUUGUCGAGUUACAAAUUCUACCUCAUGUAUUACAGCAUGUCAAAAAGCUUUGGGAUUUACUCCAAGCACAUGUUUGUAAUUUGGUAAAAUUAUCUCAAAUCAUUUUUUCCAAAACUUAACAAAC